UACGUAGGUCACAAGCGUUGUCCGGAUUUAUUGGGCGUAAAGGGAGCGCAGGCGGUUUGUUAAGUCUGAUGUGAAAGCCCACGGCUCAACCGUGGAACGGCAUUGGAAACUGGCAAACUUGAGUAUAGAAGAGGAAAGUGGAAUUCCAUGUGUAGCGGUGAAAUGCGUAGAUAUAUGGAGGAACACCAGUGGCGAAGGCGACUUUCUGGUCUAUAACUGACGCUGAGGCUCGAAAGCGUGGGGAGCGAACAGGAUUAGAUACCCGCGUAGU
rnacentral:rRNA from 1 species